rnacentral:rRNA from 1 species
UACGUAGGGUGCAAGCGUUAAUCGGAAUUACUGGGCGUAAAGCGCACGUAGGCGGCUUGGUAUGUCGGGUGUGAAAUCCCCGGGCUCAACCUGGGAACUGCAUCCGAAACUGCCUUGCUAGAGUAUGGGAGAGGGAAGUGGAAUUUCCGGUGUAGCGGUGAAAUGCGUAGAUAUCGGAAGGAACAUCAGUGGCGAAGGCGACUUCCUGGACCAAUACUGACGCUCAGGUGCGAAAGCGUGGGGAGCAAACAGGG